GUAGGUGGCAAGCGUUGUCCGGAAUUAUUGGGCGUAAAGCGCGCGCAGGUGGUUCUUUAAGUCUGAUGUGAAAGCCCCCGGGCUCAACCGGGGAGGGUCAUUGGAAACUGGGGAACUUGAGUGCAGGAGAGGAAAGUGGAAUUCCACGUGUAGCGGUGAAAUGCGUAGAUAUGUGGAGGAACACCAGUGGCGAAGGCGACUUUCUGGCCUGUAACUGACACUGAGGCGCGUAAGCGUGGGGAGCAAACAGGAUUAGAUACCCUGGUAGUCCACGCCGUAAACGAUGAGUGCUAAGUGUUGGGGGGUUUCCGCCCCUCAGUGCUGCAGCUAACGCAUUAAGCACUCCGCCUGGGGAGUACGGUCGCAAAGACUG
rnacentral:rRNA from 1 species